CACCAGUUGACCUUGGCUAACUGAAACUGUGGACAGGGAAACCUUGAAUAAAGGAAGUUCAAAAUAUACAUUGGAUGUUCAUCAAUCAAUGAUUGUUACAGUUUUACUUGGAUUCAUAAAACAGGACGUUUUCUUUCAGAAGAAAGAAGAGGUGAUGGCUACAAACUGGGGCAGAGAGAAAUUGAAGGCAGCAGGAAGACAAUAAGCAGAAGGAGCAGAAAGAAAGCUUUCUAUGUUCCUGUAGAACUCUCCCAGGUUGCCCUGGGGUGAAAUUGGAAGAAUUUCCACCAAACUUAAGAUCCAGUGCCUAACUUUGUAAUGUAUCAACAACAAAAAAAUACUUCAGUAAAUUGUCAAUCUGACCUUCAUCUCAGGCAGGGAGCUUGCCAAAUGAGAAAAGUGUAUGCAUGGUACUUGAUUUCCGUAUUUCCUGGCAUUCCUUCCGGAGACUACUAUUCAUGAGGACUAUAGCAGUCCAAGAAGAUUCCAUCCAUCUGUCUCCUGGCUGCAGGUUACAGGAGUGAGAGAGGCAGAGACACAGGCAGAGGGAGAAGCAGGCUCCAUGCACC